UAGGGAAUCUUCGGCAAUGGGGGGAACCCUGACCGAGCAACGCCGCGUGAGUGAAGAAGGUUUUCGGAUCGUAAAGCUCUGUUGUUAAGGAAGAACGAGUGUGAGAAUGGAAAGUUCAUACUGUGACGGUACUUAACCAGAAAGGGACGGCUAACUACGUGCCAGCAGCCGCGGUAAUACGUAGGUCCCGAGCGUUGUCCGGAUUUAUUGGGCGUAAAGCGAGCGCAGGCGGUUAGAAAAGUCUGAAGUGAAAGGCAGUGGCUCAACCAUUGUAGGCUUUGGAAACUGUUUAACUUGAGUGCAGAAGGGGAGAGUGGAAUUCCAUGUGUAGCGGUGAAAUGCGUAGAUAUAUGGAGGAACACCGGUGGCGAAAGCGGCUCUCUGGUCUGUAACUGACGCUGAGGCUCGAAAGCGUGGGGAGCAAACAGG
rnacentral:rRNA from 1 species